rnacentral:rRNA from 1 species
GUCCACGCCGUAAACGAUGGGUACUAGGUGUAGGAGGUAUCGACCCCUUCUGUGCCGUCGUUAACACAAUAAGUACCCCGCCUGGGGAGUACGGUCGCAAGACUAAAACUCAAAGGAAUUGACGGGGGCCCGCACAAGCAGCGGAGCAUGUGGUUUAAUUCGAAGCAACGCGAAGAACCUUACCUAGACUUGACAUCUCCUGAAUUACCCUUAACCGGGGAAGCCCUUCGGGGCAGGAAGACAGGUGGUGCAUGGUUGUCGU